CACCGCGUAUUCGGUCCUAUCAAUCCCCUACAACGUGAAGCAUCGGCUACUUUAGAAAACAUGGCAGGAUGCAAGUUCAACAACGGCUUGAAAAGAACGAGUGUUUCUGGUCACGGUGGGUGAAAUGCUUCUGAAUCUGCGUUAUGUGUCGCGAGACUUUCCAGCGGUGGAAUCUCACGAGCAGAGCAAGAAGCACAGAGACUAGCGAAGGCCGCCAGCAGCCCGCGGGGCUAGCUGCUGCUCCGCCGCGAGCUCCUGCUCCGCCGCCCGCAACGACGUCAACUACAACGCUGGAGGUCACCGGAGGAAAUCCAGCGCCUUGCAACAAAGAGCUCAUCACCGAAGACCAACGCUGCAGUGCGUUCUUCAUUCUGUUCCACGAGACUCUGGACCAGACCACCGCGAGCAGACAGCUGGACUUCAUGUGCGCUAUUGGUUAAAUGACCAGGUCCCGUCAGGAUCCUAUGGAGCUCAUGGGCCAUGACACCAGGACCUACUUCAGCAUCUCAAAGAGAAUGGACCAAAUGUCAACUGGAAAUUUUUAUAUUAAUACAGUUUGAAAAGGAUUGUUUUCCUAGUAUAUUCACAAAAGCUCAGGAGUAGACAUGAACCUGUGCACAAACAUCCAUCACAUAGAGACAUGAGAACUCACACUCACUCACCCACACACACAUACAUUCUAUUAUGUAAAUGAAUUUGCAUUUUAAUAGCAGCUGGAAAUGUUAUUUGUUAUUUUAUGGAUUUUUUUUGUUCAAAAGGAACUAUGUUGCAUGUAUUUUUAAAAUAUAUUUACUUAAUUUUAGAGACAUUUGUUCAUGGGACUUAAAUGUUCUGAAAAUGUAUUAAUAAAUAUAAUUUACAACA